GAAACAGACACCUCUUCUUUUGAUCUCCCAGCCAAUUGAGGCGAUGCUCCAUGACAAGUCCUGCGUGAGAUGAUAUGGUUACGAAACGGGUUCUUGCUUCGUAGGCCGCUUAGGUUAUGAUGCGGCAGUCAGAUUUGGUCUUCGGCCUUGACGUGAAGGUCAGAUGCUCGACAAAAUGUGGCUGAAGUAAGUGGGAAUCCAGCAAAGGAAUUGGAGUUGUGACUUGAAACAGCGGGACGAAAGAAUGCUGUGAAGCUGAGAAUUUCGGAACUAGUUGUGAUUCUUUUUAGUCUGUGUAGCAGAACAAUCGAAAUUAUAGCUGAGUCAUGGGCUGGACUUCGCAGCACUGUUCUUAAUGGCUUUGUUCAGGUAGUGUCGAUGAGUGGAUUUCUUCUCCAAAGUAGGCUGAGGAGAACCAUGAUUUCUGGGCAUUGAACAACUCAAGUAUGUUGUUGUUACCUUCCAGCACACUUGGAGCUCAUGGUUGGACCUGUUCCAUUUUGCAGCUUAGAAAAUGCUUCAGAAGGAAAGAAUAGUCAACUGGGAUUUGGAACUUGGAACUUGAAGGUGACUAUUUUGUCUUGCCUGUUACUUACUGGAUGGCUCCAGGUUCGUCUGUUCUUAUAGCCAUGUUUCUUUUAUUGCUUUAUCCUGUCAUGUUCUUAUAAACAAAUUAACUGGACUAUAUAGGAUCCACAUUAUCAUCCAAUCAGGAAGUGACAAAUCAGCAGGGAUAAUGCAUCUGUGCCCUGUGUCACAGUUGUGCCUGCUUGUUGAGUGCAAUUACUUGAUAUAUUACUUCAGAUUGGACAACUAGAUGGUGCAUUUUUUUCCAGAUAUGUUCAGUCUCUCAAUCAUAUUUAAUUGAGUCUGCACUAAUUUGUUCUUGAGUGCCUCAGCAAAUGAAUAGGACCAGAAUCAUUAUAUUCCCAGUCAAGUAUCUCUUUUCUUCCUUUUGUUUUUGUUUCUGUUUUUUUUUUGUUCUCAAAUGAAGACAUAAGUUAAGCAGUCUUUGUCUUCCAACACUCGACUUGAUGUAAAACCAACUAUAUUGUAUAAAUUUAGCUAAAACUAAUAAAUAAGUGUAGCCAAAAGGUGGAGUUGUAGUGCACAAUUAGUUCUUUUGUUCUUCCCUAAACUUUAUAUUCACUUAUAAAUGACAUGUCCCAAUACUCUUCUGUUUCUCUUUAGUUCUUGCCAAGCAUCCAGGAUAAUAUUAUGAUGAUCCUAGAAGUUGCUCAUUCCAUAUAUAAGACUAAGGGGAAAAACCCUUUAGUCAUCAUUAAAGUUGACUUAGAAAAGGUUUAUGAUAGAUUGUCGUGGAAUGUCGUUGUCAAUGUGUUGAGGGCUUUUAACUUUCCUGAGGUUUUUGUUUCCUGAAGUUAUGCUUGUGUGUCUACUCCUGAGCAUGCAUGUUUGAUUAAUGGAUCUCCUUCCCAUUUUUUCAAAUAUGCUCAAGGUAUUAGACAAGGUGAUCCACUUUCACCUUAUCUUUAUAUCUUAGUGGCACAAUUGUUGUCCCAUUAAUUGGACAAGGCUACUCGAGAUGACAAAAGCUUAUCCCUUUUGACUUCAAGCACAAGUAUAAGCUUCCUCACAUGAUGUAUGCCGAUGACAUAAUUCUGUGUUUUAGAGCAAACAAAAAGUCUUGCAGAACUAUUAUUGAAAAUUUUUGGGAUUAUGAAAUUUUUACGGGCCAGUGUUUGAACCGUACUAAAUCUGAAAUUUUCUUUCCAUGUGACAUUGAUCAAAAUACUAAAACUUCAAUUUGUAAUUUUUUUGAAUAUUAAAAAAGAUAAAUUUUAUUUUAAAUAUCUUGGCAUCAUGAUUUUUCCUCAUCGGCUACCGAUUUCACCUUUUGAUGAUCGUGUUCAUGCUAUUCAAAAAAGCUUAGUUCUUGGCAUGCAAAGUUUCUGCAUUACUCUUAUAAAAUCUGUCGUGUUGGCUUCUUUCACAUGCUUUCGGUGGAUGCCUGUGCAUAUUUUGAAAACCAUUAAUAGAAGUCUACAAACAUCCUUUGGCAUAAAGCCUCUUCUUUAAGGAAUCUGCAUUUGCUUUCUUGGAAACUGUUACUGCUCCCAAAGAUCAGGGCGAUCUUGGUAUCCAAAAUAUAAAUCUCACUUCUGUUGCUUUACGGGCUAAGAGAGUUUACAAUUACUUAAACAAAGCUGACAGUAUAUGGUGUAAAGUGAUUUAUGAUAAAUAUGGAUAAAUAUCUCAUUGGCAGAUUGGACAAUGCAAGUUGGUUCUAGCAUCUAUUUACUCGGGCGAUGUGGGAUUUGCGUUCUGCAUUUUCCUGUGUUAUUGGUGAUGGUCGUUUUGUUAAUGCCUUGGAUCAUAGUUGGAUUUUUUUUAGAUGCCGAUUUCUUUCAAGCCAACUUUUCUUAAUAUGGAAUGUUUGCAUGAAAUUUCUACAGUUUCAAGCAUGAUUUCGGAUCAAAUCUGGAAUGUUGACAAGUUGAACAUAUUUUUUGGUCCGCUGCUUUCUAAUCUGGUUUUAAAAUUGGAUUUGUCGAGUUUUUCCUCUGAUGACAAGUGGGUUCGGACACCUGAAUCCAAGGGGCAAUCAUGAACCAAGGCUGUAUAUGGCUUUUUAGCUUCGCGGUAUGCUACUGAUCAUAUUCAUCCUAUUGUGUGGUCUAAUCUUUGGAAAAUUCUUGUUUUCCCCAUACAAUCUUCUUCCGUUUGAAACUUUUGCAUGGUAGAUUGCCUACUUCUCAGUAUCUGGCUAAUCUAUGUAUUAGGAAGGUUGCGACCUGUUAUCUAUGUGGUUCGAAUGAUGACAGUUCACCUCAUCUUUUGUUUGGAUGUUCCUUCACACAAUCUAUCUUUUCAAUUAUUAAUUAAACAUGAGUUAGACUUUUCCUCUAGGUUUUAUGAUCGGUGGCAUACUGGUGCAUGGCUGAGGGAAGCAAAUGAUUUGGUCAAACAUACUUGUCGAAUAUUAUUCUGGUUAAGAUAUUGAGCAAUGAAACAGAUCCCCCUUGGAACUUAAAUCAUGUUGGUUCUAGCGUCUAUACAUGGGCUGUAUCUUUCACUUAUUUUCGACCCAAAUCUACCCCCAAUAUACUGUAAUUGGGUCUAGAUUUGAGAUCCAGAUCUCUUCUCUGCCGUGGAGGAUUCAGGUCAGCCCUUGUAUAUGGAAACAGGGACAGCUCCAUUUGAUCUUCCAGCCAAUCGAGACGGUGUGCUAUAAUGAGUUGUGCAUGAGAGACUGAUGCAGCCGCCAUGUUUUGGUCGGAGCAUCCACCAGGUGCUCGACAAAAUGUGCCUGUGGUGUGAGUUCUUGUUCGUUCGUGGAAGUUAACCAGGUUGAAAUAGUAUAUGAUUAAUGAAUGUUGGGAAUCCAGAACCGGCUGUGUUCGUGGCAAUUGGGCUUUACUGUUGCACCAAUUUUACUUGCUAAGUAGUUCUUA